GACGAACCGUGCGAACGUUGUUCGGAAUCACUGGGCUUAAAGGGCGCGUAGGCGGACUCGCAAGUCUGUGGUGAGAGCCCCCAGCUCAACUGGGGAAGGGCCUUGGAUACUGCGAGUCUGGAGGAGGGUAGGGGCAUCUGGAACGCUGGGUGGAGCGGUGAAAUGCGUUGAUAUCCAGCGGAACUCCGGUGGCGAAGGCGAGGUGCUGGACCCUCUCUGACGCUGAGGCGCGAAAGCCAGGGGAGCGAACGGG
rnacentral:rRNA from 1 species